GGGAUCUCAAAGGACCCUGUGCAGCAGGCCACUAUUUGAAUGUGUGUUGCUCCUUGUGGCAGGUAUACUGUUCCAAUGCCCUGGGAUCUCUGUAGUGGUCGGUACUGUAUUGAUUAUAAAUGGUGAAGUCCUAGUAUCUUGCUAGAGUGAGCUGGCCAGGAUGGUGGAGCUCUACCACCAUUUCACAGGUUAUAGACAGGGGCCACCAGGUUUCAGGAAAGCAGCAAUGACCCCUCAGUAAUAGUUGGAAAGUGUGAUAUGACACUGAGCUUCACUGUGUUGGUGAAGAAGAGGUGAGGAAAAUAAAAGCUGCAGUUUGCCUCCACCUCUGAAGAAGCACAAUACACCUUUCUGGGUUACCAAUGGGAUACUUCCCAACAGCUUUGUCAUCACAUACAAUAUUCUCAAACAAGAUCUUAAUGGCAUCUACUUUCUCCAGGAACACAGCCCCUGACCUGUGUGUGUUUGCGUAGAGAAGGCAUGCUAUGUACCCCCUAGGAUAUGAAUCUGCCCACCACUCAAGCCUGGGAAAGCUGGCAGAGGAUGCACGUGUUUUACUCACCUGAGUGUUUACAAUGCUCGUGAGGUGCCUCCCUGAUAGUACAGAGGAAUGAAGAAGGAAUAAACAGACCUUCUGGAUAAUUGCAUCAGCCUUCCCCACUAUUCCAAUGCCAUGCUAACAUUUCAAGUAAUGUCCCUUUUGUCUUGCUGAGAAAAAAUCAUUUCAUGAUUUAUUACACUGGAUUAAAGGCUAUGCACACUCUGGAGUUGGAACAUGACUGAAGGGCAAGCAAGCAUAAAGGAUAUCAGAAA
rnacentral:lncRNA from 1 species